rnacentral:rRNA from 1 species
CCUACGGGAGGCAGCAGUGAGGAAUAUUGGUCAAUGGACGCAAGUCUGAACCAGCCAUGCCGCGUGCAGGAUGACGGCUCUAUGAGUUGUAAACUGCUUUUGUACGAGGGUAAACGCAGAUACGCGUAUCUGUCUGCAAGUAUCGUACGAAUAAGGAUCGGCUAACUCCGUGCCAGCAGCCGCGGUAAUACGGAGGAUUCAAGCGUUAUCCGGAUUUAUUGGGUUUAAAGGGUGCGUAGGCGGGCGGUUAAGUUAGAGGUGAAAUCCCGAGGCUCAACUUCAGAAUUGCCGUUGAUACUGGUCGGCUAGAGAGCAGUUGCGGUAGGCGGAAUGUAUGGUGUAGCGGUGAAAUGCUUAGAGAUCAUACAGAACACCGAGUGCGAAGGCAGCUUACCAAGCUACUUCUGACGUUGAGGCACGAAAGCGUGGGGAGUAAACAGGAUUAGAUACCCGGGUAGUC